rnacentral:rRNA from 1 species
UACGUAGGUGGCAAGCGUUGUCCGGAUUUACUGGGCGUAAAGAGCGCGCAGGCGGUCGUUCAAGUCGCGUGUGAAAGCCCCCGGCUCAACUGGGGAGGGUCACGCGAUACUGAUCGACUCGAAGGCAGGAGAGGGUAGUGGAAUUCCCGGUGUAGUGGUGAAAUGCGUAGAGAUCCGGAGGAACACCAGAGGCGAAGGCGGCCUACUGGGCUGCACCUGACGCUGAGACGCGAAAGCCAGGGGAGCGAACGGG